rnacentral:rRNA from 1 species
UGGGGAAUUUUGGACAAUGGGCGAAAGCCUGAUCCAGCAAUGCCGCGUGCAGGAUGAAGGCCUUCGGGUUGUAAACUGCUUUUGUACGGAAUGAAAAAGCUUCUCCUAAUACGAGAGGCCCAUGACGGUACCGUAAGAAUAAGCACCGGCUAACUACGUGCCAGCAGCCGCGGUAAUACGUAGGGUGCGAGCGUUAAUCGGAAUUACUGGGCGUAAAGCGUGCGCAGGCGGUUAUGUAGGACAGAUGUGAAAUCCCCGGGCUCAACCUGGGAACUGCAUUUGUGACUGCAUGGCUAGAGUACGGUAGAGGGGGAUGGAAUUCCGCGUGUAGCAGUGAAAUGCGUAGACAUGCGGAGGAACACCGAUGGCGAAGGCAAUCCCCUGGACCUGUACUGACGCUCAUGCACGAAAGCGUGGGGAGCAAACAGGAUUAGAUACCCUGGUAGUCCACGCCCUAAACGAUGUCAACUGGUUGUUGGGAAUUAGUUUUCUCAGUAACGAAGCUAACGCGUGAAGUUGACCGCCUGGGGAGUACGGCCGCAAGGUUG